rnacentral:rRNA from 1 species
UACGUAGGGUGCAAGCGUUAAUCGGAAUUACUGGGCGUAAAGCGUGCGCAGGCGGUUAUGCGAGACAGAUGUGAAAUCCCCGGGCUUAACCUGGGAACUGCAUUUGUGACUGCAUGGCUAGAGUACGGUAGAGGGGGAUGGAAUUCCGCGUGUAGCAGUGAAAUGCGUAGAUAUGCGGAGGAACACCGAUGGCGAAGGCAAUCCCCUGGACCUGUACUGACGCUCAUGCACGAAAGCGUGGGGAGCAAACAGG